rnacentral:rRNA from 1 species
GACGUAGGGCGCAAGCGUUGUCCGGAUUUAUUGGGCGUAAAGGGCGCGUAGGCGGCGUGACAAGUCACUUGUGAAAUCUCUGAGCUUAACUCAGAACGGCCAAGUGAAACUGUUGUGCUAGAGUGCAGAAGGGGCAAUCGGAAUUCUUGGUGUAGCGGUGAAAUGCGUAGAUAUCAAGAGGAACACCUGAGGUGAAGACGGGUUGCUGGGCUGACACUGACGCUGAGGCGCGAAAGCCAGGGGAGCAAACGGG